ACACACACACACACACAGAGAGAGAGAGAGAGAGAGAGUGACGCAUACAACUGACUAGGCAAUUUGUUGUCCAUGUUAGCUUUGGAUUAGCUAAACUAAGCCUAAAUAUCUCUCUCUCUCUCUCUCUCUCUCUGUGUGUGUGUGUGUGU